UGAAUGGUUGGCCCGAUCGAA
ensembl:piRNA 21ur-4041 ncRNA